UUUUUAACACUACGAUCAAAUAUUGAUUUCUCUCUCUUCCUCUUUAGCAUUUCUGGGUUCUUUUGUUUUUGUCAACAAAAUCUCUCAGCAGAACAAAAAAUCGAACGAAAAAGGUUCCAUUUUUCGUUUCGGUUUUAUGAAUUUGGUUUAAAGUUCAUUUCUUUUUCCUCGUUCCCAUGUUUUUGUUAAUGUGCUUGAGUUAUGUAAAUAUCGCUGCCGUUUUUGGCUCUCAUUUCUCUGGUUUGUUCUGUUUUUGCAGAGAAUAAAAACCAAUAACUUGAGCUGCUACUGAUUGUUUCGUGUUUCGUUUCGUAAUUUGUUGAGGUUCGUUCACUUGAGAUGCUGUAUUUAGUUAUA
rnacentral:lncRNA from 1 species